rnacentral:lncRNA from 1 species
UUCGCUGUAUGGCGUGCUCGUUUGGGUUGGGCAUCGGCUAAGAGUGCUCGGAGCAUGGAUUAACUCUAGUCUGCUAUCAGGUGUGUAUUUCUCACUACUCUAGCUGUAGGAUGGCUACUUCGAGCCGCGAUGGGCCGAAAGGGGCCAUGUGGGCCAAAUGGGCCUACGGGCCCAAUUGGAUAAGUUGUUUGAUUGUGUAGUAAAUAUUAGACUAGGCUAGGUAAAUCUCAUAUCUGUGGCUAGAUUUGGGCUAAAAGGGCCACACGAGCGUGUGGGCCCAUUUGGGCCAAGAAUAGGCUUUAGGCCCAUUCGUAUUGUUAUCCCUGUUUAGAAUACUUUAGUUCACCAAAUUACUGAAAUUCCCUCAAAUUGUAAAAUUACCAAAGUACCAUCGAUUUACAAAAUUACUAAAAUACCCCUGGUUUGUAAAAUUACUAAAAUACCCCCUGAUUUGUAAAAUUAUUAAAAUACCCUCGACCUGUAAAAAUUACCAAAGUACCCUCAAUUUAUAGAAUUACUGUUUUACCCUCGAUUUACAGAAUUACUGUUUUACCCUUGAUUUACAAAAUUACCAUUUUACCCUCGAUUGUGAAAUUACUAAAAUACCCCUAUAGGGUAGAAUUACCAAAACACCCCUAGUUUGUAAAAUUACCAAAAUACCGCUGGUUUGUGAAAUUAUCGAAAUACCCUCAAUUUGUAAAAUUACCAAAAUACCCCUGAUUUACAAAAUUACAAAAAUACCCUUGAUUUGUAGAUUUACCAAAACACCCUUGUAGGAUGAAAUGACUAAAAUACCCCUAAUAGGUAAAAAGACCGUAAAGCCCCUGUAGGGUAAAGUGACCAUAAUACCCUUGUAUGGUAAAAUGAUGAAUACGCCCUUUUGUUCCGUAUGACUGAUGUGCUUAGGAUUUACAUAUAUUGAUAUUGGAAUAGUUAAGUUUGAGUGACAGGUGGUGGUUAUCGUAAGUGAUUGAUUAUGGAAACGUUUCAACUUCAACCCGUAGCAGGUGUGUACUAACCCUCAUAAUAGGUUAGAUUAAUAUUUGCUGAGAAGCCGAAAUGCUAAAAUAUUGUUAUUUCGAGAACUUGUGAUUUUUCCUUUGCUUAAACUGCGAUAGAUACGAUAAGAUCGGUGUUUGGAUCGAUGGAACAGGUAAGAACUCAAUUUUGUGCACGAUGGUAAGUUGGGCCUCAAUGGGCUUAAAUUGGGCCCAAUGGGCUUUCGGACCCAUUUGGGUAGAAUUGAUAAAAAAUGGAAUUUGGAAAAGUUGCACGUUAACACGGUUAGUAUUGUUGUAAAAUUUGGGUUAAGUAGGAUAAAUCAGCAUUCGUAGGGCCCAUUAAGGGUUUUGGGCCCAAAAGCCUGAAUUUGAUAAAGUGGGUUAAAGAUCAUUGUUUAAACACUCGAAAAUAUUGAUAAUUGUAAUGAACAUGGAAAACCCUGAUAUUUGGUAAAAUUACGAAAAUACCCUUAUAAUGUGAAAAAUGACUGUUUUGCCCUUGUGGGCAAGUGACUGACUUGGACUGUGUGGUUGACGAAUUUGAUUGUGAAUAUAUGUUGGUGAUAUGAAUGACUUGACUGUGAUUGUUUAAUUCAAAUAUGGGCAUGACAUUCUGCAUACAUGACAUGUUGCAUUGGGUUGGGUUUUUAUAUGGAUGGAGGAAGUGCAAAAGGGCUUAUGCCCCAGUUUACCGAAAAGGGCUUAUGCCCCAAUUUACCGAAAAGGGCUUAUGCCCCAGUUUAUUGAAAAGGGCUUUGCCCCAGUUUACCGAAAAAGGCUUUGCCCCAGUUAUUAAAGAGGCUAGGCCUCCAGAUAUAUGAUAAAGCAGCUAUGCUGCCAGUGGUGUGUUGGUUGGGUGGGUUGAGUUAUUCCCCACAUGGUGUGUUGGUUCGUACGGGUGGAGAGUAGCGGAUGGUGGGUUGAGUAGUCUCCCCAAAUGGGCUUGCAUUCAUCCAUUGACAUUACAUGUGAUAUUGAAAUGGGCCUAAGGGCCAUACCAUUUACAGUAAAGGCUUCGGCCCAGUGAUAUGAUUUAUGAAAAGGCUUCGGCCCAGUAACUGUUAAAUGAAAGGCUUCGGCCCAAUAUAUGUCAAGACUAAAUAGGGCUUUGGCCCAGAUUGUACUGAUACUGUGUUUUCACUAUUUGUUUGUUAUUGGAAUUACACACUGAGUUUUCAUAAACUCACCCCGUUUCUAACUGUGCAGGUAAUCCCUAAGCUUAGAUGGUUUGGAGCUACGAGGGACUCGGAGAUGGCCACACUACUGUUUCUGUUUCUUUUAAUUGCAAUAAGUACCCGAUUUAUUUCUUUAUAAGUUUUAUCUUAUUAAUAUUAUUGUUUGGUUUUGGGUUGUAAUAAGGCCAUUUUAAUUAUUUUU